CAAAUACUCCCUCCAUCCAGAAAUACUUGUCAUCAAAAUGGAUAAAAGGAAAUGUAUCUAGACGUAUUUUAGUUUUAGAUACAUCUAUUUUUAUCCAUUUUGAUGACAAGUAUUUUCGGACGGAGGGAGUAGAAA
rfam:Triticum aestivum genome assembly, contig: Triticum_aestivum_CS42_TGACv1_scaffold_320336_4BL